UCUCAUGUCAUCAGUAAACAGUAAAAAUCCAACUGGGUAGCCAUUUGUUGUAAAGUAAUGUAUAUAGAACUCUUUUCACAUAAUAGCUUGUAUAUUCCUACAAUAUUAUUAUUUUUCUUUAUUAGGACUGAUUUAGAAAUUUGCAUAAGCCUGUAAAUCACCUAUUAUUCGAACUAUUAUUUCUGAUUGGUAAAGAAUUAGAAUAAAAAUCUUGCCAAAGAAUUGUGUGAAUAAUAUUUGGAGUUUUAGACUAUUAUUCUUUCAUCUCUUUCAUAUUGAUAUUAGAGCUCCUGUUUUGAGAGUCUCUGUUCCGCUGUCAUAGAAUUCAUUGCUGACCCAUCUUGCAAAUCUAGAUUUUAUCGCAUGACCUGUUUUUCUGUGUUUUCCCCCAUAACCCUACUUUUUCCUGUGUUUUUCGGCAAAGACAAUACAUGCAGAACCCAGCAUAACCCUUUGACUGGCCAACCUCAGAAGUACUGUUACCGAAAACUGCAGUAUCCAUCUGCUGCCAUGUGCCACCUUAGGUGCUGCUGUUUAUACCAAAAUGGUCCAUAUCUGGUCGUUGAAAUUUCUUAUCUUCAUUUCAGGCACUAAUAGGCAUAGCUUAUGGUUGUAAAGGUGUCCUUCAUCAAUCUUGUAUGUCCAUGCUCCAGAUGUCCAGUCUUAGACAUGAUGGGAUGUGUUAAAUAGUCCCACAUGGAAUUCACCUAAUCAUAUGUUUAUAAGUGGAGGCAAUCCUCACCUUACAAGUCGAUUUUGUAAGGUUGAGUUAGAUCCGACCACAAUUUGACGAAUAGUUACCAUCAAUAACCUUGGUUGGUUAAUUUGUUCCUAAAAUUAAGGGAUCUUGAUGUUAAGAAGUGUGGUUGGGCCUAACUCAACCCUACAAAACCGGCUUGUAGGGUGAGGAUUGCUCCCACUUAUAAGGAAAUGUUCAGGCCAUAUAUUGUCCGAUGUGGGACUCUUAACACACCCCCUCACGCCCAGGACUAGACAACUGGAGCGUGGAAAUAAAUGGUGGGUGGCCCGAUAGCGGAAACCAUAGAAGGUGGCCCACCGGAUCUUAAACGAGGCUCUGAUACCAUAUUAGAGUUUGACCUAACUCAUCCUUACAAAACCGGUUGGUAAGGUGAGGAGUGUCCCUCUAUAUAUAUUCUUUCAAUGCUCUAUCUCCAACCAAUGUGGGACUUUAGGAUCUUCCUAAUACACCCCCUCACGUCCGGCACUCUUUUGGGCUUGGUGCGUGGAUAUUAACGGUGAGCAGCCCAUGGGCUUGGUGCGUGGAUAUUAACGGUGAGCGGCCCAUGGUCCGAUCGAUAGGCUCUGAUACCAUGUUAAGAAGUGUGGUUGGGCCUAACUCAACCCUACAAAACCGGCUUGUAGGGUGAGGGUUGCUCCCACUUAUAAGGAAAUGUUCAGGCCAUAUGUUGUCCGAUGUGGGACUCUUAACACUUGACAAUGAUAUUGUUUCUCUUGUAUUACCUGUGCAAUUCUUUGAAAGUAAUACUAGAAAUUUAGAUUCAAUAAAAUUGGUAGAAAACUUAGAUCCCAAGGUGGGGAGGGAGUGGGGUAUCCGUAUGGCAGUUAAGAGGGGAGAAUUAGCGGGGUUCUUGUAGAAGAUAUUAGAAUAUUCUCUAUUUAUUAUUAAGAUUUGUUUUGUUUUAUUUAAGAUUUGUUUUGUUUUAUUUAUUGUCGCUUAUAUCGCGCCCUAAUUUAAGGAGCUGACAUUAUGUAUUUCUCUAGUGAAAUAAACUUAGUUGACCAUAAUAUUUUCAACGCUCAUAAGCCGCACAAUUAGUUUGUAGAAGACUCUCACUAGUUUAUCCUAUGUAUAAAUCCUCUAUGACUGACAACCAUCCUAUUGGUGGUACAAGACACUCUCCAACCAAAAGCGCAGGAGGAAGGAAGGAGCCGUAGUGGUGGUGUUGGAGGACCCAACGCAAGCAACACUUGCGUUAGAGGAGGAGAAUUUAUGCCAUUCACCAAAUUUCUCACAAAUUUAGGCUUCACCCAUAGACUCAGCUGUCCACAUACUGACCAUCAAAAUGGUGUCCACAUACUGACCAUCAAAAUGGUGUGCUAGAAUGCAAACAUAAACACGUUGUUGACCUUGGCCUCACCUUACUCAGUCAUGCCUCCCUUCCCUUUAGGUGUGUUUGGGCUAUAUGCAAAGCCAAAGAGAUCAAAACUUUCUCCACAAGGAGGAAAGUUGAUUGUACUUGUUUAUAUUGAAGUCAUUAUUGUUACAUAAGAGCUGCUCAAGGAGAAGUUAUUAGCAAAGUUUGAAAGGAAGGACUUUGGGCAACUAUAGUAUUUUUUUGGAAUUGAGGUGGCCUCCUCAAAGCAAGAAAUCUUUAUCUCUUAGAGAAAGUAUGUGCUUGAUAUUUUGUAGGGAACAAGCAAGCUUGAAUGCAAAUCUGCAGGUGUUCUCCCUGAGCAAAAUCUCAAAAUAUGUUUGAAGAUGAAGGUGUCAAAGCUGACAAGAUCCUAUAUUCGAAAUUAGUGGAAAAGUUGAUUUACUUGGCACAAACUAGGCCAUAUUUGACUUAUGCAGUUAGUAUGGACAAACCAAUUCAUGCAUGACUCGAGGGUUUAGCGAAUGAUAGAUCUACUUCAGGCUAUUGUGCUCUCAUGUAUGGGAAUUUUCUUGUUUGGAGGAGUGAGAAGCAAAGUGUAGCAGCUCGUUCAACCGCUGAUGCGUGAUGUAGAGCUUCGGUACAAGGAAUUUGUGAGCUACUGUGGAUGAAAAUUGUACUACAAGAUUUGAAGAUAAAGUGUGAAGGUCCUAUGAAGUUGUUGUGACAGUUUAUCAACCAAUAAUAUUGCUCAUAAUCCUAUUCAACAUGACAAAACAAAACAUAUUGCAAUAGACUGACAUUUCAUUAAAGAGAAGCUAGAUAGUGGAUUGAUAACUACAACCUACAUUUCUUCAAGGCAUUGGCUUCCAGAUGUAUUAACAAAGAGAUUACU